rnacentral:misc_RNA from 1 species
AGAUAAUUUCUUCAUCAAGAGAACCUCCGGGCAAAAGACUUGGAUUCCAGGCGAAGCAAACUAUUCGGAUGUCAAGAAUAUUAUCGGGCCAUUACAACAGGGCACGUGGUGAAAUGUACAAUUUUAUUUUUUUAGGGAGAAUUUGAGAACUACGUGGACCUGAUCCUCCAUUUUAUAUUGUAAGGAGGUACGUAGGCAGCUUUAGGGUGCGGUCCAAAGUAUGUAAAAAAAA